ensembl:lncRNA
GGGGAAUGAUUUUUAUCCUCACGCUGAAAAUGUUGUCCAUUAUUGUGAGAGAGAGUGGCGAAGUGGAGAGGCUGAGCUGAAUACAGAUGGCUGUGGGGGUUAGGACUGGGAUGGAGCAGAACAGUACUAGGGGAGAGGCUGAGCUGAAUACAUCUGGCUGUGGGGGUUAGGACUGGGAUGGAGCAGGCAGUACCAGGGGAGAGGCUGAGCUGAAUACAGAUGGCUGUGGGGGUUAGGACUGGGAUGGAGCAGGCAGUACCAGGGGAGAGGCUGAGCUGAAUACAGAUGGCUGUGGGGGUUAGGACUGGGAUGGAGCAGGCAGUACCAGAGGAGAGGCUGAGCUGAAUACAGAUGGCUGUGGGGGUUAGGACUGGGAUGGAGCAGGCAGUACCAGGGGAGAGGCUGAGCUGAAUACAGAUGGCUGUGGGGGUUAGGACUGGGAUGGAGAAGGCAGAACAGUACAGCAGUAGAGCAGUCUGUCUAACAGCCAGUCUAACAGACAGCCG